GCUAGUAUUGUGAUUUACUAUUCGAUAAAAAUUUAUUUAAAAAAAUGGUUGAUAUAGAACUAACAAGUUCCUAAUAUUUAAAUGCGCUGUCCCCAAAAAUAACGGAAUAUUAGAUUAUUAAAAAAAAAGUUACGUAAAUAUUUUCAAAUUUAACCAUAGUUUCAGUGUAUGUAGAUAAUGGAUGAUUACAGAUUUUGUUUUAAUCCAGUGGUGAUUUUUGUAAUUUUUUUAUGAAAAAAUAAUUCGUUAGAAUCCAACGAAGUUUUUUUAGUGAAGAUUAGCAUAUCAAUUAGGAAAAUUUAUUUUAUAUAUGAAAUGACGUACGUAUAUAUAUCUUCGAAUGUCAUCGUUUAGAACUGUUAUUUAAAUAAGUAUUAUAUGUUUUGUUUUUUUUUUCUUCCGUUUAUUUAAACAACGGUUGCAGGAUGAAACGAGAAUAAGAAAGGUACGCAGUUAAUGGAGUAGUUCUUAAAAGACUGAAAAUGAUUGCCACUCUUAUUUAUUCGAUCCUUAAAAGAAAAGAAUUAUUAUGUGUGAUAGUUAUGUUUUAAUUGCAAGGUAAUUUUUUCAAGUGAUGCGUUUCUAAAAAUGUGGCAAUCUGUUUUUUAUCAGGGUUGAUAUUACAAAAAAAAAAAACAAAAUGAAUAAUUUGACUUAUAAGCUCUAUGUGUAGGAAAAUGUAGAUAAAGAUAUCUUAAUUACUGCGUCUUUAUAGCAGCAGGUUUUAUAUACAUAUAUAUUUAUAUGUGUAAGUUUAAUGUCAUCACAUAGGUGGUAUACACCUAUACAUAUACGUAUAUCCCAGAAACCAUCAAUAUGCUUUUGCGAAGGAUUUAUUACAUAAAGUUAACCGUUUAUUUCAGCUGUUUUAUAAAAAUUUCCUAAAGCUUAUUGAAUACAGUAGCGGGAUAUUUUUAAAUUACUCAAAUUAAAACAAUAUACAAAAUUAAUUAAUUUGUUACAUACAUUUCAAUUAAUUAAUUGUAUUGUUUCUGUUAACUUUUUGUUGUAAAUCUGGAAUAUUUAUUUUUGUUAGUUAGUACCACAGGAUUUUCUAUGCUUGUAUAAUAGAAAAUCGGACUAGACCUUGUGUAUACUAAACUAUAUCUAAUGAUAUGACGCGAUAUGCCAUUAUUUUUUGUGUUUAUUAAACAUUUACAUUCCCAUUAUUAAGGUUUUUAAGUGCCUAUUGUACGGUAAGAUCACUUUCUAACGCUUUCUGUUUUUCCGUUCCUUUUUUUUUUAUUUUAUAUAGUAAAAAAAAUUAAAGGACAAUCGUCAAAUCGUACCAUACCUACUGAUAAUUUUCAUGUUUCUCAUACUUUUAUAUAAAUCAUGAAUAAAUACCUUUAAUAUAUUAGCAAUUGUUUGUAUAUGGUAGUUUUCUUUCUAUUGCAGGCCUAAAACCCAGCUAGGCGACUGACACGUCAAGUUUUUUUUGAAGAGUUUGGACUAUGAUACAUUUAGGUUAGUCGAGGAUAAGUUCUGCGGUCUCAAAUUUUAAGCAAAACACUAGUCAAAAUUUCUAGGUACGUGCAAAGGUGUGAUCUUAUAUUACUAUUCUAUUCUAUAAUGUAUUCAAUGAUCUUGAUAUAUCCAAAAUCAGAACUCUUGAGCCUAAACAAACUUGCAACCAAAACGGUCAUUCCACUAUGUAGUUAUGUAACUUUGUAUAUAUUUUUAAUUUACAACCAAACCCAGCCUUAACCUUGUUUGUUAUGACGCAGCAUGUAGUUCCUAAUCAUUAUUUACGCCAUCACUUGUUUCAAUAUGGUUACGGUGAUAUGAAGUAACCGGAAAAUUGAAGGCUCAAAUAUAGCGUCUGAUACAGUCGAGGCGUGGUUAGGUUUUGGUCCAAUUAUUAUAUGUAACAAUGGUUAGUAAGAGUCAGUUUAAACCUGUCGUAGCUUGAGUUUGCGACUUAUUGACUUCUUUAUUAUUACCGUCUGGUCGAUUAUUAUUCCUUAAUGUUUCGAAAGUUUUCUGAGUAAGAUAACGAUAUGACUUUCGAAAAGGCGAGGAGUAAUUGAUAACGGGAUAAUAGCCCGAAAACCGACAACCCGAGACUCAGCUUACAUUGAUAAAGUAUAAAGAAAAUGCUCAAAUAAAACGAUAACCGUUUCUGUGGGGAUUACACGGGUUUUAAAGCUGAAAAUUGCAAUUAAGAAUAGGCCUUUGCGUAAUACUAACACAUUCGGAAUCGAUCAGUUUGGUUGUAAUGUAGCUGUAAGGCCUUUGGAAAUUAUUAGGCAAUUAUAUAUGGCCCAAUUUCGGGGCAUUGUUGACAAACUCAUAAUAUUACAGUGUCUUAUUUAUUAAAUACGUGUCGCCUGUUUUUUUAUUAAAACAUUUUCUGAUUUUAUGCACAUUGUCAGUAAUUUUUGAGUAGUGGUAAUUUUUAUACAUAUAAAAAAAAAAACAUGUACCUAUCUAGUUGUGACUGUGAGGCCAAACCUGAUAUACAUGAUACAUAUAAUUUUAGGAAGAAAUCAAUAAGAAGGUUGCCGUUUUGUAAAGAUUUUGUAUUCAUGUUUUUUAAGUCGAUCUAAGAAGUAAAAAAAUUAAACAAU